GAAUAUUGGACAAUGGGCGCAAGCCUGAUCCAGCAACGCCGCGUGGAGGAAGAAGGUCUUCGGAUCGUAAACUCCUGUCAGGUGGGAAGAAAGGCCGCCGGCAAAUAGCCGACGGUCUUGACUGUACCACCAGAGGAAGCCCCGGCUAACUCCGUGCCAGCAGCCGCGGUAAUACGGAGGGGGCUAGCGUUUAUUCGGAAUUAUUGGGCGUAAAGGGCGCGUAGGCGGCUUGGUAAGUCAAAGGUGAAAUCCCUCGGCUCAACCGAGGAACUGCCUUUGAAACUGCCUGGCUCGAGGCCGGGAGGGGGUAGCGGAAUUCCCAGUGUAGCGGUGAAAUGCGUAGAUAUUGGGAGGAACACCGGUGGCGAAGGCGGCUACCUGGACCGGUUCUGACGCUGAUGCGCGAAAGCGUGGGGAGCAAACAGG
rnacentral:rRNA from 1 species